rnacentral:rRNA from 1 species
GAUGAACGCUGGCGGCGUGCCUAAUACAUGCAAGUCGAGCGAACAGACGAGGAGCUUGCUCCUUUGACGUUAGCGGCGGACGGGUGAGUAACACGUGGAUAACCUACCUAUAAGACUGGGAUAACUUCGGGAAACCGGAGCUAAUACCGGAUAACAUGUUGAACCGCAUGGUUCAACAGUGAAAGACGGUCUUGCUGUCACUUAUAGAUGGAUCCGCGCCGCAUUAGCUAGUUGGUAAGGUAACGGCUUACCAAGGCAACGAUGCGUAGCCGACCUGAGAGGGUGAUCGGCCACACUGGAACUGAGACACGGUCCAGACUCCUACGGGAGGCAGCAGUAGGGAAUCUUCCGCAAUGGGCGAAAGCCUGACGGAGCAACGCCGCGUGAGUGAAGAAGGUCUUCGGAUCGUAAAACUCUGUUAUUAGGGAAGAACAAAUGUGUAAGUAACUAUGCACGUCUUGACGGCACCUAAUCAGAAAGCCACGGCUAACUACGUG